GCCAAAUAUGGUCAGCCUUGUGUCAUGAACUUUGCGCGACCUUCUAAAGCGGCAUAGAGAUCGUGACCUUUAAGACGCUGCCUGAGGCCGAGCUUUAGGCACCGUUUUGCAUGACCAUGGAAAGAAGACAGUUGUGCAUGGGCGCGUGCACACUGUCACGAGAUUUGGUGGUAACGUUCACCACAGUGGAGCAGUUUUGCUGUGAAUACUGAAGAUGGAACUUUUUCAUGGACAUUUUCCAAGGCCUCAGACAAGGGCUAAAUCUUGGUUACUGCGACCUGAAACCACUAAAAAAUAGCAGAUUGUGGCAAGCAUGUCAUGAUGAGGCAUGAAAGUACCAAACAAAUGCAGGUGUG